rnacentral:piRNA from 1 species
UGGCUAUAUAUUCAUGCUGUGUCAAUCU